AAAAUUUAAAUUUUUUUUUUUU
rnacentral:misc_RNA from 1 species